CCCUUAGAUGUCCGGGGCUGCACGCGCGCUACACUGUAGAAAGCAGCGUGCUUUAAAACCUUUCCUGAAAAGGAUGGGUAACCCCAGCAAAAUUCUACGUGCUUGGGAUAGAGAUUUGCAAUUUUCUCUCUUGAACGAGGAAUUCCCAGUAAGUGCGAGUCAUCAGCUCGCGUUGAUUACGUCCCUGCCCUUUGUACACACCGCCCGUCGCUACUACCGAUUGGAUCGUUUAGCGAGAGCCUUGGAUCGCUGCCCGGGUAGUCAGCAAUGGCCGCCCGGGAAUAGUGAAAAAUUGUUCCAGCUUGCCGAUCUAGAGGAAGUAAAAGUCGUAACA
rnacentral:rRNA from 1 species